CCAAUCCCGAUCGAGCUUCAAACUCUUUUAAGACCUGGAGUACACACUGGACAGAUUCAAUAUUCCCUUCGGUAAAGAUUAAGAGAUCAUCAGCAAAUGACAGAUACAUGAACUCAGCCAGUGAAGGAACAUAUCAGGAACACCUAAUCCUUGAAGACAGGAGAAGAGGAAAUCCCCACGACAGUGUAUCGAAAGCUUUUGCUAUAUCAACUUUUAUGGGAACUUAGAAAUCAGAGAGAGGAUUGUGGCAUUCGCUGAGUAUGGCAGGAAACCUGAUCUGAAGAAAUGUGUGAUCGCAGUUACAACAUCUUCACCCACUGAAUCCCAUGCCGCCUUAAAAAAUCCUGAGGUGAUGGAAUCAGUAACAUUUGUGAGCUCUCAGUAGUUGAAACAGCAUGAUUCAGGAGUCCUCGGAACCAUUCAUGAGAGGAGGUGAUGAGUGUAGGCGAGUAGACCGGUCCCAAGACAGAACGGAAGUGAUAGACAGCAAGGAGACUCAUUUCCACAGGGUCUGUUAUCCAAACCCCAGCGUCAUUCAAAAAAGCUCGGAUCGCAUUGUAGCUUGAUCGUACUUGACAAAUCCUGUGGAAGUAAGCAGUAUUAAAGUCUCCUUCCCUCAACCAGUUAAUUCUAGACUUCUGUCUAAAAUAGAGCUCUUCAAUUUCUCUCAAAAAAAUCCACUUUUG